UUCUUUUACAGGACCCAGAUGCUAUACAGUGGGAAAACCAGCCUGGCAACAUAGUGCGUAUUAAUAAAAGGACACCACAUCCUGCCAAAUUCCAGCUGCGCUAAUUGUAUUGUGUUCACAGAGCUCACAAGCUAUCAGAAAGUUGUAUGGCAACCACCUCCGGCGCCAAAUAGAACUGGCAGACAUAGACAUUCAGUACAAGAAGAAAAAGAUGGAAAAUCUUGCACUGGAGUCCGAAAUAAAAAGAGGACAAUUAGGAAACUGGACCUUGAAAUAAAAAAACUUGAGAGGGAGCUCCAAGAAGAUGACACAGCUCAAAAUAAAAAUGAGCAAUCAGUACAACCAAGUCAUCGUUAUAAGGCAUCGCCCUCUUUUGCCCACCCCCCCAGCACCAGGUGUGGCCACUGGCCUAUAUGAAGGCCCAAAAUUGUGUGUUCCUUUCUGCUCUGACAAUGGCAUGCCCAUUCGUGCGAGAUGGUGGAUGAAGAAGCACUUGUGCUGAGGAGAGCCUUCAGGCGAGAAAGGGUCUUCAGGGACCGGUUGGACCCACUGGCCUUCCCUGAUGACCAUCUAUAUGAAAGAUACAGGUUUUCUGCAGAUGGCAUCAGGUAUCUAUGCAGACUACUGGGUCCCAGGAUUAAGCACCGCACUGCACGG